UAGCUCAGGGGUAGAGCACAACCUUGCCAAGGUUGGGGUCGCGAGUUCGAAUCUCGU
rnacentral:tRNA from 1 species